CGGAGAGGCCCCUCAAGUCCACCACAUCAUAGGCGACCACUGUUGUUUCCAUGACACUGGGAACCUGGACCACCUAGAACUGCCUCCUUCCAAGCGACACUGGGGCUGGCUCCCCAUCUGAGCCGUCUGGAGACCCUGUGGCUGGCAGGCGACGCCGUCCCCCCGCCCAGGGCCAAGGGGGAGCAGGGCUGUGGAGAGCAUGACCCCCUUGUUAAACCACGUCUGCCUUUAUGCCUCGAUACACCACACAGAGAGAUGACGGGAGAUACCACCAAGAUGAGAUGCCAACCCGGGAGAGGCUCUGCAGGUCCCCUGGUGCCCACGUCUACCUGGCUUGUCCCCACAGGUGGGUUUUCUGAGACAAGGGGGCUUUUGGACACAGGUCUGUCCCCAGAGCCAGCCAGCAGCUCCAGAGAAGAGACAGCAGGUGCCCAGGACGAUGCGGCUUAGUUGCCAGGUUGCCACGAAACAUCCAAUAUUUGAAAGUGUUCUAUGGACCUCAAAGGGCAAGAGACACCUUAAAAUGUUUGCUGGAUGGCUGUAGGAGGGUAGAGCCCUGGUGGGCACACCUGGUGAGGCUCUGCUGCUCAUGUUCAUGGAGUCCCACGUCCACCAGGCCCUUUGAAUCUCGAGUUUCUGGCUUCAGAUGCCCCCAGGUUUCCAGAAGUCAAGAUUUCUAACAAAUGGACCCAAACCCCAAGCCAGCACCUGGAAGUGGCAGCAACACGGCUGUGUGGACCCCGGUGCUGGGAACCUUCUGGAGGCAGCUGGACACAGGGGCUGCCAGUGUGGAGAGGGACGCUGCUCAUUUUGACAUUUCAUCUGAAUAACGUUCCAAGUGUUCUAAUGAAAGCCUCUGCGCUCCCUUUGAAAUACUAGCAAUUACAAAGAUGAAUAAUUGCAUGAUAAAUAUUAAUUUGCACCAUCGUAAUGAGGCCCAGAAGCAUCCUGCUGCUAACUGAGUAAGUGUGGCCAUCACACCCCACCCUCAGGAAGGAGGAAAAAGUGGCAGCUUGCAGCAGAGAUGGAACAUCCCCAAACCACAGUGACAGCACAAAGGGCUGCCUGUCUGGUUCCAGUCCCCCAAGUAAAGGACACCUGGAGUCUUCGCAGAGGCCGCUGCUUCCCCUAACGGCCCUGCCUUUUGGCGCUGAGUGUCUGCAGACCUUUGGCAACCUUUGCAAAUAUCAUCCUCACAGAGGAGAGCUGCACCUCUUCCAUCUUAAGCAGUGAACCCAGGAUGCUUGGCGAUCUUGGGGCUUGUUUUUUCCUCUAAACACCUGCUGUGUGUUUUAUUGGGCAAGCCGUCCUUUCUGCGUCUGGGCUCCCUUGAGUCUGCAAACCUUCUU
rnacentral:lncRNA from 1 species